GAUGCGUUCUGUUAAAAGAUUUCUUUUUAAGGCCCCUAUUCUGACCCCUCGGCAACUGUUCCUACAACCUGCCUGGUGUGUGCCUAGCUGCCUUGGCCUUGGGGAAGCACGGGGCAAGACAGCAAGGCCUUGCUGAUGGGGUCGGGCUGCUGCAGGCUUGGGCAAAAUGUAGCUGGGACAGCGGUCCCUUUAAUUUCAUACUCCAGUCACACAUUCCUGGCAUUUUUGAAAAUCCCAGGAAGAGGAGAGUUCCCCGUGUGGAUCCCAGCCCCACUCCCUACUCUGCCAAUGCAACUGUUUGAGGAAGGGAGAGAAAGGGGAGGUUGCAAGAGUAAUUCAAACCCAGUGCAUUUGAUUUCUGAUCAUUUUAGAAAUGCUGAAGGAAGAGAACUUGUGGCAAAGGACACAUGGUGAUGGACCCCUAUAACUUCAAAGGCAUGCAGGAAUAAAGACCUCAAAUAAGAAUUAAGGAACAAUUAAGAAGCCUACAACUUCCAUCUUCCAUGACCUCUGAACAUCCUAGUUGACAAUAAUGGGAGCUGUAGUCCAAAAACACUGGAAAUACCCCAGGCCAAGGAAUACUGAAAUACAGUAAUUUAACUACAGAUGACAUACCUUCAGGAAGGCCUAGUGGAAAUUUGUAGAAUGUGUCUUCUUUAAAAAAGUGGGCUUGAGGUGCGAAGCCUUUAAAAACGACUAAACCUGGACAAAACAAAUGCAGAAUACUACAAAAACAAGUUAGUCACCAGUGUAGACUUAUUAAACUAUGACCAGAAAAUGACCAGUGUGGGAGAGGCAGGCAUUUUCUUAGUUUGCCUGGGACCAACUACUUCUAACCUUGUUGUUUAAAGAGCUUUCAAAACUAUUCUACUUCAUCAGUUAUAAAAUUAUUAAACCNGUUAUUUGAAAGCUC
rnacentral:lncRNA from 1 species